rnacentral:rRNA from 1 species
UACAGAGGUCUCAAGCGUUGUUCGGAUUCAUUGGGCGUAAAGGGUGCGUAGGUGGCGCGGUAAGUCGGGUGUGAAAUCUCGGAGCUUAACUCCGAAAUUGCAUUCGAUACUGCCGUGCUCGAGGACUGGAGAGGAGACUGGAAUUCAUGGUGUAGCAGUGAAAUGCGCAGAUAUCAGGAGGAACACCGGUGGCGAAGGCGGGUCUCUGGGCCGAUACUGACGCUGAGGAGCGAAAGCGUGGGGAGCGAACAGG